CUCUCAUUGACAAAGUCUCAGCGGCACUGUGUGUAGAAGACCAUAUAAUGAGUGCAGGCCAGGCAGACGUGGUGGCUUCAGCAGAGACAAUCACUUCUGAGAGAAAGGCAGUUACUCUGGACUUUCUUGUGUAUGGUCGAUGGAUGCUGUAGAUAAAGCUGACAGAUUCAGAAAAGCAUGUGGAGCAAAUCCUUCAAAGAUGACACACAAUUUCUCACAACCAGGGCUAAAUGAGGCUUCUUGGCAGCUACACAUCCUUUCAGACUCAUA